GAGACUCCAGGGGACUCACUACUCUGUGCAGUCGGACAUCUGGAGCAUGGGGCUCUCUCUGGUGGAGAUGGCAGUUGGAAGAUACCCCAUUCCUCCUCCUGAUGCCAAGGAGCUGGAGCUGCUGUUUGGAUGCCAGGUGGAAGGAGACGCGGCCGAAACGCCACCCAGGCCAAGGACCCCUGGGAGGCCCCUCAGCUCAUAUGGAAUGGAUAGCCGACCUCCCAUGGCAAUUUUUGAGUUGUUGGAUUACAUCGUCAAUGAGGUAUGUGCUGCCAGGCUUCCUUGACCUCGGUGUUUCUUUACUCUAUUUAAGAAGUUUGGGGCUGGGGAUUUAGCUCAGUGGUAGAGCGCUUACCUAGGAAGCGCAAGGCCCU
rnacentral:lncRNA from 1 species